rnacentral:rRNA from 1 species
AGCGAACGCUGGCGGCAGGCUUAACACAUGCAAGUCGAGCGGGCAUCCUUGUGGUGUCCGCGGCAGACGGGUGAGUCACGCGUGGGAACGUGCCCUUCGGCUCGUAAUAACUCAGGUAAACUUUAGCUAAUACCGGAUACGUGCGAGAGCAGAAAGGUUUAUCUUCCGAAGGAUCGGCCGGCGUCUGUUUAUCUCGUUGGUGUGGUUAUGGCUCCCCACGGCGAGGCUCAGUAGCUGGUCUGAGAGAAUGGUCAGCCACACUGAGAUUGAGACCCAGCCCAGACUCCUACGGGAGGGACGAGUGGGGAAUGGUGGAAAGUGGGGUCAACCCUGAUCCAGCCAGGCCGCGUGAGUGAUGACGGCAUUAGAGUUGUAAAGCGCUUGUCACCGGGACGGUAAUGACGGUACCGGAGGAGUAAGCCCCGGCUAACUUCGUG